rnacentral:rRNA from 1 species
UACGUAGGGGGCAAGCGUUGUCCGGAAUUAUUGGGCGUAAAGAGCGUGUAGGCGGUCCGGUAAGUCAGCUGUGAAAGUCAAAGGCUCAACCUUUGAAUGCCGCUGGAAACUGUCUGGCUUGAGUCCGGGAGGGGCGAGUGGAAUUCCUGGUGUAGCGGUGAAAUGCGCAGAUAUCAGGAGGAACACCGAUGGCGAAGGCAGCUCGCUGGAACGGUACUGACGCUGAGGCGCGAAAGCGUGGGGAGCGAACAGG